CACACAAGUUAAACCAGGCAACAAACUCAUGUUUUAAAUAUGCUACUGUCUACUUCUAAAUAGCCAUUCCUUCACAACUGUGCCAUGACACAAUUUUUUGAAGCACAUAGCACCUAUUUGACUUGUAGUAGCCCAUGACUGACAUAGGCUGAGAAGGCCACACAAUAGUAUUCUGAAAUAUUUGUUUUCUUCCAAGAGUGACAAAUGGCAGAAUGGAAAGGACAACAUAAGGAAAGCUCAUCUGCCUGGUACACUGUUGUAGUGCGGGGAGGUUGUGGUAAGACCUCAGGAAGACAGUCCACUCACCCCAGAAGCAAAGAUAUUGCAGGAAAAAGAGCGUGCACAAGGAAGCCAGUUGGUUGCCCGUUACCAUGUGAAUGUGCGGCUGCUGGGACAAUGACCCUACCUGCCUCCACUGGAGCUUCCUCGGGGACCAGGCGCUGGGCUCCCCAAUCACCACGAGGCUUGUUAUUCUGCUCCUGUGUAUGGGUCUGGGCCUUUGUAAUGCGGACCUGCUGUCCACAAGUUCCCAAAGAUCCACCUGCUUGCUAGUGCACCACGUAUUUCCCUGGCCAGAAUGAACCAGAAGAUAGUAACUUUCCUAUCUGGGCUACAGAAUCAUCCAGAGAAACAAACAGCAAAGUGCAGAACUAUGAUUUGUAUCCUGCUUUGGAAAAAGAGUAACGAAGAAAUUUAACCUGAAUGAAAAAG